rnacentral:pre_miRNA from 1 species
UACUGAUGACACUACCCGUAGAUCCGACUGUGGGCUUUUAUAUGCAUACGCAAGCUCCUAUCUACCGGUACAUGUAGUCAGGCC